UACGGAGGGGGCUAGCGUUGUUCGGAAUUACUGGGCGUAAAGCGCACGUAGGCGGCUUUGCAAGUUAGAGGUGAAAGCCCGGGGCUCAACUCCGGAAUUGCCUUUAAAACUGCAUCGCUAGAAUUGUGGAGAGGUAAGUGGAAUUCCGAGUGUAGAGGUGAAAUUCGUAGAUAUUCGGAAGAACACCAGUGGCGAAGGCGACUUACUGGACACAUAUUGACGCUGAGGUGCGAAAGCGUAGGGAGCAAACAGG
rnacentral:rRNA from 1 species